rnacentral:rRNA from 1 species
AAAUUUAUAAUUUGGCACCUUCGGUGUCCGAGUUGUAAUCUCUAGAAAUGUUUUCCGCGUUGGACCGCACCCAAGUCUGUUGGAAUACAGCGGCAUAGUGGUGAGACCCCCGUAUAUGGUGCGGACGCCCAGCCCUUUGUGAUACAUUUUCGAAGAGUCGAGUUGUUUGGGAAUGCAGCUCAAAUUGGGUGGUAAAUUCCAUUUAAAGCUAAAUAUUGGCGAGAGACCGAUAGCGAACAAGUACCGUGAGGGAAAGAUGAAAAGCACUUUGGAAAGAGAGUUAACAGUACGUGAAAUUGUUGGAAGGGAAACGCUUGAAGUCAGACUUGCUUGCCGAGCAAUCGGUUUGCAGGCCAGCAUCAGUUUUCCGGGAUGGAUAAUGGUAGAGAGAAGGUAGCAGUUUCGGCUGUGUUAUAG